GGCUCGGUGGCGUAAAUGGUCAACGCGUCUGUCCAACUUACAGAUUUCACAGAGUUCUCAAAGUUCACGGAAGGUCCUCAGUUCGAAUCUGAGCCGAGCCA